rnacentral:rRNA from 1 species
AGCGGCGGACGGGUGAGUAAUGCUUAGGAAUCUGCCUAUUAGUGGGGGACAACAUUCCGAAAGGGAUGCUAAUACCGCAUACGUCCUACGGGAGAAAGCAGGGGAUCUUCGGACCUUGCGCUAAUAGAUGAGCCUAAGUCGGAUUAGCUAGUUGGUGGGGUAAAGGCCUACCAAGGCGACGAUCUGUAGCGGGUCUGAGAGGAUGAUCCGCCACACUGGGACUGAGACACGGCCCAGACUCCUACGGGAGGCAGCAGUGGGGAAUAUUGGACAAUGGGGGGAACCCUGAUCCAGCCAUGCCGCGUGUGUGAAGAAGGCCUUAUGGUUGUAAAGCACUUUAAGCGAGGAGGAGGCUACUGAGACUAAUACUCUUGGAUAGUGGACGUUACUCGCAGAAUAAGCACCGGCUAACUCUGUGCCAGCAGCCGCGGUAAUACAGAGGGUGCGAGCGUUAAUCGGAUUUACUGGGCGUAAAGCGUGCGUAGGCGGCUUUUUAAGUCGGAUGUGAAAUCCCCGAGCUUAACUUGGGAAUUGCAUUCGAUACUGGGAAGCUAGAGUAUGGGAGAGGAUGGUAGAAUUCCAGGUGUAGCGGUGAGAUGCGUAGAGAUCUGGAGGAAUACCGAUGGCGAAGGCAGCCAUCUGGCCUAAUACUGACGCUGAGGUACGAAAGCAUGGGGAGCAAACAGGAUUAGAUACCCUGGUAGUCCAUGCCGUAAACGAUGUCUACUAGC